GACGAACGCUGGCGGCGUGCUUAACACAUGCAAGUCGAACGGCAAGGCCCUACUUUUGUGCUCUGCUCGGGUGGCGAACGGGUGCGUAACACGUAAGUAUCCUACCCUACUCUUUGGUAUAGCUUCACGUAACUGGGGCUACUCCCGUAUAGCAUCUCCUCCUGCAUGGUGGGGGUUGGAACGUUUCGGCUGUUGGGGAUGGACUCGCGGCUUAACAGCUUGUUGGUGGGGUAGUGGCUUACCAAGUCUUUGACCGGUAGCUGGCCUGAGAGGGUGACCGGCCUCAAUGGGACUGAGAGACGGACCAGACUCGUAUGGGAGGCAGCAGGGGGGAGCAUGGCACAAUGAGCGGGAGCCGGAGGAAGAAACGCCGCGUGCGGGAUGACGGUCUUUGGGGUGUAAACAGCAGCAGCCUGUGACGAAGCGUGAGUGACGGUAAUGAGUAAAGAAGCACCGGCUAACUACGUG
rnacentral:rRNA from 1 species